rnacentral:rRNA from 1 species
CGGCGUGCCGUAAUACAUGCAAGUCGAACGGUCUUUCUAUGGAAGCUUGCUUCCACUGAGAAGAUAGUGGCGAACGGGUGAGUAACACGUGGGUAACCUGCCCAUAAGAGGGGGGAGUAACAUCCGGAAACGGGUGCUAAUACCGCAUAGUUUUCUUGAUCGCAUGAUUGAGAAAGGAAAGACGGCCUUUGUGCUGUCGCUUAUGGAUGGACCCGCGGCGUAUUAGUUAGUUGGUGAGGUAACGGCUCACCAAGACGAUGAUACGUAGCCGACCUGAGAGGGUGAUCGGCCACAUUGGGACUGAGACACGGCCCAAACUCCUACGGGAGGCAGCAGUAGGGAAUCUUCCGCAAUGGACGAAAGUCUGACGGAGCAACGCCGCGUGAGUGAAGAAAAGGUUUUCGGAUCGUAAAACUCUGUUGUCAGAGAAGAACAAGUUGGAGAGUAACUGCUCCAGCCUUGACGGUAUCUGACCAGAAAGCCACGGCUAACUACGUGCCAGCCGCUGC